GAUGAACGCUGGCGGCGUGCCUAAUACAUGCAAGUCGAGCGAACAGACGAGGAGCUUGCUCCUCUGACGUUAGCGGCGGACGGGUGAGUAACACGUGGAUAACCUACCUAUAAGACUGGGAUAACUUCGGGAAGCCGGAGCUAAUACCGGAUAAUAUAUUGAACCGCAUGGUUCAAUAGUGAAAGACGGUUUUGCUGUCACUUAUAGAUGGAUCCGCGCCGCAUUAGCUAGUUGGUAAGGUAACGGCUUACCAAGGCAACGAUGCGUAGCCGACCUGAGAGGGUGAUCGGCCACACUGGAACUGAGACACGGUCCAGACUCCUACGGGAGGCAGCAGUAGGGAAUCUUCCGCAAUGGGCGAAAGCCUGACGAAGCAACGCCGCGUGAGUGAUGAAGGUCUUCGGAUCGUAAAACUCUGUUAUUAGGGAAGAACAAAUGUGUAAGUAACUAUGCACGUCUUGACGGUACCUAAUCAGAAAGCCACGGCUAACUACGUG
rnacentral:rRNA from 1 species